rnacentral:sRNA from 1 species
GACCCUUCCUUGAAGUGUAGUAGUUUUUACUUCUGGAAAGGGUCUAUUUGUUGUGUCGCGAAUUAUUGUUAAAUAGUGAGUGAUUUUAGUUCACGCGCGGGCAGCGCAAGGUUUUAGGGAGGCAGCUAUACUAUGGCUCAGAACGGUAAGGUUAAAUGGUUCAACGCAGAAAAAGGAUACGGCUUCAUUGAAGUCGAAGGCGGAAAUGAUGUAUUCGUACACUAUUCUGCAAUUGAAGGCGACGGUUUCAAGACGCUUGAAGAAGGCCAGGAAGUCAGCUUCGACAUUGUUGAAGGCAAUCGCGGACCUCAGGCCGCAAACGUUGUAAAACUGUAAUCUUCGGCCAUAGCCGGUAAUG